rnacentral:rRNA from 1 species
ACUCAAAGGAAUUGACGGGGGCCCGCACAAGCGGUGGAGCAUGUGGUUUAAUUCGAAGCAACGCGAAGAACCUUACCAGGUCUUGACAUCCUUUGACCACUCUAGAGAUAGAGCUUUCCCUUCGGGGACAAAGUGACAGGUGGUGCAUGGUUGUCGUCAGCUCGUGUCGUGAGAUGUUGGGUUAAGUCCCGCAACGAGCGCAACCCUUAUUGUUAGUUGCCAUCAUUUAGUUGGGCACUCUAGCGAGACUGCCGGUGACAAACCGGAGGAAGGUGGGGAUGACGUCAAAUCAUCAUGCCCCUUAUGACCUGGGCUACACACGUGCUACAAUGGGAAGUACAACGAGUCGCAAAGUCGCGAGGCUAAGCUAAUCUCUUAAAACUUCUCUCAGUUCGGAUUGUAGGCUGCAACUCGCCUACAUGAAGCCGGAAUCGCUAGUAAUCGCGGAUCAGCACGCCGCGGUGAAUACGUUCCCGGGCCUUGUACACACCGCCCGU